rnacentral:rRNA from 1 species
GAUGAACGCUGGCGGCGUGCCUAAUACAUGCAAGUCGAGCGAACGGACGAGAAGCUUGCUUCUCUGAUGUUAGCGGCGGACGGGUGAGUAGCACGUGGAUAACCUACCUAUAAGACUGGGAUAACUUCGGGAAACCGGAGCUAAUACCGGAUAAUAUUUUGAACCGCAUGGUUCAAAAGUAAAAGACGGUCUUGCUGUCACCUAUAGAUGGAUCCGCGCUGCAUUAGCUAGUUGGUAAGGUAACGGCUUACCAAGGCAACGAUGCAUAGCCGACCUGAGAGGGUGAUCGGCCACACUGGAACUGAGACACGGUCCAGACUCCUACGGGAGGCAGCAGUAGGGAAUCUUCCGCAAUGGGCGAAAGCCUGACGGAGCAACGCCGCGUGAGUGAUGAAGGUCUUCGGAUCGUAAAACUCUGUUAUUAGGGAAGAACAUAUGUGUAAGUAACUGUGCACAUCUUGACGGUACCUAAUCAGAAAGCCACGGCUAACUACGUG